GUCCUUGUAGCUCAAGUGGAUAGAGCUCCUUUACGACGAAAAGGUGGAUGUCGGUUCGGGUCCGGCCAAGGACG
rnacentral:tRNA from 1 species